UACGGAGGGUGCAAGCGUUAUCCGGAUUCACUGGGUUUAAAGGGUGCGUAGGCGGGCAGUUAAGUCAGUGGUAAAAUCUCCGAGCUCAACUCGGAAACUGCCGUUGAUACUAUCUAUCUUGAAUAACGUUGAGGUGAGCGGAAUAUGUCAUGUAGCGGUGAAAUGCUUAGAUAUGACAUAGAACACCGAUUGCGAAGGCAGCUCACUAAACGCUCAUUGACGCUGAGGCACGAAAGCGUGGGGAUCAAACAGG
rnacentral:rRNA from 1 species